CACGGGGGGAGCAAGCGUUGUUCGGAAUCACUGGGCGUAAAGGGCGUGUAGGCGGUUCGGUAAGUGGAAUGUGAAAUGCUCCGGCUCACCCGGAGUACUGCAUCCCAAACUGCCGGGCUUGAGUAUGGGAGAGGAUGAGGGAAUUCCAGGUGUAGCGGUGAAAUGCGUAGAUAUCUGGAGGAACACCGGUGGCGAAGGCGGCAUUCUGGACCGAAACUGACGCUGAGGCGCGAAAGCCAGGGGAGCAAACGGG
rnacentral:rRNA from 1 species